GUGCAAAAAAAGAAUUUGCAAACACGUGGAUAAUUUCUUUACAAAAUAAAAAAUUGUACAUCUUUUUUUGGAUAUUAAGUUUGCAUACAAAAUCUAAAAGUGAAUGUAAAGAAGAAGAAAUUUAACCACAAACGAAUGAAAAGAAUGGGGAGGAAGAGAUUGAGAAUAAUGAAGAGAAUAACGAAGAAGUAACGUAAGAAAAACUAUAGUGACUGUUAACUAAUAAAAACUUGAGCAUAGGAUUGUAACAGUAACAGUGCUGCGGAAAGAGAAGAUAAAGGAAAAGCAAACAUAGAGAAAGUCACUAAACAAGAAAACAUUUCCAAUGAUGUCAAUAAGCGUUGCACUGUAUUUAUAAAAAAUUUAGCAUUUGAUAGGGAAUGUCGCAAAUACGGACCCGUUUCUAUAUGCAAGUUCUAUAUCCGGUCAAUACUUAAUUUACAUAGACAAAAGAUCUUUUUGCUCAUCAAUGUAAAUUGAUUACAUUUUAUUUAUUAAAGUAAUGGAAGGGUUAAGGAUUGUCCCUUAAUAAUAUCGGAUUUUUUUUACUCAAGAAGCUCUUGAUAGCGUGAAGUUUUUUGAAAUUCUGCCAUUAUGUAGUCAUAGUUAUCACAUGGACAACACCCAUUGAUAUGUAAACAUUGUUUGAUGAUGACUCAUCAAAUUCUGAAAUGGAAAAUGCUAGAGGGAAGAGCGAUUCCAUCAAUUAGUUCAAAAUAGCAUUAUGAGGUGUACGGACGAGGCUCCUGCAUGAAUACUCUUCCGAGCUUGCUUCUUAAGUUGCUGACUGCUAUAAUGUUUUAGACUAUUGUGCGGCGCCGAGCUUGAGCAAGUGGGUUUGGCCGCACUGUCCUCGCUCAAAAGUUAUCAGUAAGCGCUUUCCCUUCACCAUCAGUCUUGCUGUUGUCUGCUUUUUGCGUGGAUUCAUCGCUAUGAUUGUUUUUGUCUGGCUCGCUCAAUUGUAAACAAAUUUCAGCUCGUAUGAGAGGAAAUAAAUGAGCGACCACUUGUUUGAAUGUAUUUGAACUUCGAAUUUGGUAUUAUUAUAUAUUUAGAUGGCGAUAUUUCAGAGGUCUUAAGUAAAUACUUAACGCUAUCUGCUAAUCUCAUUAUAAGCAGCUUGUAUUUGCAAGGAAGUGGACGAGCUGCUGGAAGAACUUACUAAACUUACAAAGGAGGAUGAGCAAACUGAAUUUCUAAAGCGGUUGUGCAAUCAAAGUACAAAUUCAGACUUAAAAACAGUAAACUCAAGUGAAUUGCUAAAGAAAGAAAAUAUUUAGAUAUAUAUAAUUUUGUUGUGCAUUAGGUUAUACGUAUUAUUAAGCAGGGUCGUAAAAUGAACGCGAAGGCAAGCCAUGUUUUUUACAUUUGCUUGAAGCUACAUUCACUUGAUAUAUUAUACAAAUUUUUUGUUUAAAUUUACUUAUCA